AGCAAUCAUCCAGUGUUAAAAAACAGUGCUCUCCAACCACCCAGUUACUACGAGGUAAUGGAGUUUGAUCCCUUAGCUCCCACUACAGAAGCUAUUUAUGAAGAAAUUGAUGCUUCCCACAAGAAAGGAGCUCAAAGCCAUAGUGAAUGCUGAGGUAAAAGACAGCUUACGCAACUUAACUUCCAUCUAAUUUCAGUGCAUUAUCACAUUCUGUAUGAAAUUCUUUAAGGACCACAUCAGUCUGACACAUGUUUUAGUACAAUACCAAGUUCCUCUAAAUUACUUAGUGAUGACCAGUGCUCACUAAUGAAAUACAAUCUCUGUGCUCUUAUCUAGGUGUGGAAAUUCAAAAGUUGGUUUUGGGUAUAUAGUAUUAAUGCUAAUAAAGCCAGAUGAUCAGUAGA
rnacentral:lncRNA from 1 species